UACGUAGGGGGCAAGCGUUGUCCGGAAUCAUUGGGCGUAAAGAGCGUGUAGGCGGUUCGGUAAGUCGGCUGUGAAAGUCCAGGGCUCAACCCUGGGAUGCCGGUCGAUACUCCCGGACUAGAGUUCGGAAGAGGCGAGUGGAAUUCCCGGUGUAGCGGUGAAAUGCGCAGAUAUCGGGAGGAACACCUAUGGCGAAGGCAGCUCGCUGGGACGUUACUGACGCUGAGACGCGAAAGCGUGGGGAGCAAACAGG
rnacentral:rRNA from 1 species